rnacentral:rRNA from 1 species
UACGUAGGGUGCGAGCGUUGUCCGGAAUUAUUGGGCGUAAAGAGCGUGUAGGCGGCCAGGUAGGUCUGCUGUGAAAACUCGAGGCUUAACCUCGAGCUGUCGGCGGAAACCAUCUGGCUAGAGUCCGGAAGAGGAGAAUGGAAUUCCCGGUGUAGCGGUGAAAUGCGCAGAUAUCGGGAAGAACACCCGUGGCGAAGGCGGUUCUCUGGGACGGUACUGACGCUGGAGGCGCGGAAAGCGUGGGGAGCGAACAGG